UGAAAAUAUGUAUAUAAAAAAUAGGUAUAAUAAAAACUUUAAUAAAACAAAAUAUUUGUCUAAGGAACUUACUAUUAAACUUACAAAUUUCUGUACUGAUUUUUUUUUGCCCAAUACUGGGGAUUGAACCCAGCCAGUACUUACAGAUGCCAGCCAAGUGCUCUAAAUAGAGGAAGAGAGGAGAAAGGGAUGGGACAUAAAAAGAACUAAGAUGUGUUAUACAUGUGCCAACUCUGCACAAUGAAUGCAGCCAUGAUGUACUCCAAACAUGUACUAAUACAGAUAAAAAAAUAAAGUUAUUCUAUCACUGAGCUGCAUACCCGGGCCUAAGCUUUUAUUUUUUAUGAUGAGCAGAUUUCCAUCUGCAUCUCUGAAGUAAACCAAACUCUUUCCCUAGGGUUAAUCACCCAUUUGUGUAUUUUUGUACUUUUAUUCCAUCCUACAUGUAUCCCUAAGUAAUAUAUAGCACUACUUUGUAUGCUUUAAAGAUGCAUAUUUUAAACUUUUUUUAUUACAAAAAAUUUAGCAAAUAUAACUUCUGUAUAAAUGAUUAAAAUAUAAUUUAUAAGCAACUAUGUUUUUUAAUAUUUUUUACAUUCCUACCUGAAAUAUACAGUAUAAAGGUUCCAGGUGUUCUACACUUUUACCAACAUUUGGCAUUUGUUUGUUUGGGUUUGUUUUGUUUUUGCUUUUGUUUUUUGAGGGGACAGGGUCUCACUGUGUAGUUCAGGCUGGCCUUGAACUCACUAUGUACCCCAGGCUGGACUUGAAUGCAUAAUGAUCCUCCUGCCUCAGCCUCCCAAGUGCUGAGAUUAUAGGUGUGUGCCACCACACUCAGCACCAACAUUCGGUAUUAACAAUCUUUUUCAUUUUACCUAUUCUAGAAUAUGUGAAGCAGUAGCCCAUUGUGGUUUUCAUUUGGAUUUCCCUGAUGACUAAUGAAGGACCAUCCUGCGCCCCACCUGUGUCUGCAGCUCCUGCAAGGAUGCAUAGUACUUGGACCACCAGUCCAGCUCUUCAGGGUCCGGGAUGUCCUCCUCCAGCUCUGGACCUUGACUCAGGAGGCCUCCUAGGCAUUACCUUCAGGAGCCAUCUAGAGAUCCCAGCCUCAGCCAAGAAGGGAUCCAAAGAUUUUGGUCCUGGGAGCAGGAAUGGCACCACGAAGGCAGGGGGAUCCUCAUUUCCCUGGAGUGUGAAUCGCAGCAUGUGGGGGACAAUGUGGGAACCCACAAGGACUGUGCGACCAAAGGCCCGGUGCUCAAUCACCAAGAUGCUGAGUGGGGGCUGCAGGGUCUCAUUAAAUUGCCCAGGCUGGGCUGGAACUUCCAGUCCUCCUGCAUCAGCCUCCGAGAGCACUGCGAUUACC